rnacentral:rRNA from 1 species
AAACAGGUUAAUAUUCCUGUACUUGGUGUUACUGCGAAGGGGGGACGGAGAAGGCUAUGUUAGCCGGGCGACGGUUGUCCCGGUUUAAGCAUGUAGGCUGGUUAUCCAGGCAAAUCCGGAUAAUCAAGGCUGAGGUGUGAUGACGAGGCACUACGGUGCUGAAGUAACAAAUGCCCUGCUUCCAGGAAAAGCCUCUAAGCAUCAGGUAACAUCAAAUCGUACCCCAA